rnacentral:rRNA from 1 species
AUGGCGGACAGCGGCGGCAGCGACUGGGAGGUGGUGUCGCUCACGGCCUCCACCUACGCCGCCGCCCCAGGACCAAUCUCGCCCAUCCACGACACCGCUGACAAAGCAGAGUCGCCUCUUCUUCUCCUCCCAAAUCCUCCCGCUCCCCCUGCACAUUUCUUCAUGUCCCAGCACUUCAAUCUGCCACCGCUUUUCGGUACCCAUCUUGAGAAUAAUAGCGGAGGCCAAGAAUUAGAAUCCGACCCUGCCAUGGCGGACGGCGAUGCCGACCAUCUCAACAUGCCCAUCUGCCCAGAAAACUACCGCGACAGCGGGAGGGAUGAUCUGCAGGUGGAAGGAGGAGGAGGAGAGGAACUGCAGCGAACCACCAUGCUCUGCUCCCUUGCUGACGCUACUGCAGGUGCAGAUGCUGCUGCUGAUGCCACUGCUGCUACCCUGCCUGCUCCUGCUCCUGCCGCCACGCAGACGGUGGCUGCUCCUUCCGGCGGAGUCGUCCCUCGCAAAAGUUGCAAUGCCGCUCAGGCUCAGGCUCAGGCUCAGGCUCAGGCUCAGGCGUGGUGGGAGAAGACCUUCUCCUUCCCGCGUCAAGGUGGGAAUGGGAAUGGGAAUGGCGGCACACAGCCCCUCCUCGCCUUCCGCUUCGUCUUCGUCGCCGGCAAACUGCAGCUUCAGGAACAAGACCACCUCAGCACUGUCCCUGAAUUCGUCGGCGUCCACGGCCAAACCCAGAAGAUAAGCUGCGUGGUGACUGAGCCACUUGGUCAGGUGAAAGGCAGCAUGCUUGGUGGAGGAAGCCCUGUUGCUCAGCAGGGGUAA